AAGUCGUAACACAGUUUCCGUAGGUGAACCUGCGGAGGGAUCAUUACUGAAGGCAUACGGGGGUCUUGAGACUGCGAUCCGCUCGCGUGCUCGACCCCUGAUAUCUCUUUUUCCACACACACCUUUGUGCACUGAAUAUUUUAAAAACCAAGUUAUAUGCAUGUGUUUUGUAUUGCUCUACGGAGUCUCAUACAACUUUCAACAACGGAUCUCUUGGCUUUCGCAUCGAUGAAGAACGCAGCGAACGUGCGAAACGUAAUGUGAAUUGCAGAAUUCAGUGAAUCAUCGAAUCUUUGAACGCAUCUUGCGCUCCUUGGUAUUCCGAGGAGCAUGCCUGUUUGAGAGUCGUGACUACACUCAACCUCCCCUUUCUUUUUUUUUAACAAAAAAAAAGGAGGGGCGGUUGGAUUUGGGUGACGCCGUGAAGAGACGGCCCAUCCUAAAUGGAUUAGCGAUCUGACCCGAUCAGAGACAAUGUGAUAAAAAAGAAAGCAUUGUUGUGAUCCGAGGCCGAAGCGUCGCUUCUAAUCGUCUGCAAAGACAAUGAAUNUGUCAUUUGACCUCAAAUCAGGUAGGACUACCCGCUGAGCUUAAGCAUAUCAAUAAGGCGGAGAAAAGAAACUAACAAGGAUUCCCUUAGUAACGGCGAGUGAAGAGGGAAAAGCUCAAAUUUGAAAUCUGGCGGCCUUCGGUCGUCCGAGUUGUAAUCUAGAGAAGUGUUUUCCGCGCUGGACCGUGUACAAGUCCUUUGGAACAAGGCGUCAUAGAGGGUGAGAAUCCCGUCUAGGACACGGACUACCAGUGCUUCUGUGAUACACUCUCAACGAGUCGAGUUGUUUGGGAAUGCAGCUCAAAAUGGGUGGUAAAUUCCAUCUAAGGCUAAAUACAGGCGAAAGACCGAUAGCGAACAAGUACCGUGAGGGAAAGAUGAAAAGCACUUUGGAAAGAGAGUUAAAAAGUACGUGAAAUUGUUGAAAGGGAAACGCUUGAAGUCAGUCGCGUCUUCAGAAACUCAGCCUGGCCCCUCGCGGGGUCCGGUGUACUUUUCUGUGGGACGGGCCAGCAUCAGUUUCGGCCGGCAGAAAAAGGUGAGAGGAAGGUGGCACCUCCGGGUGUGUUUAUAGCCUCUCGUCGCAUGUGCCGGCUGGGACUGAGGACCGCAGCACGCCCUGAAAGAAGGGCCGGGGUUCGCCCACGUAACGUGCUUAGGAUGCUGGCGUAAUGGCUUUAAGCGACCCGUCUUGAAACACGGACCAAGGAGUCUAACAUGCCUGCGAGUAUUUGGGUGGCAAACCCAUAUGCGGAAUGAAAGUGAACAGUUGGGACUUCUGUCAUGGAAGGCACCGACGCCCGGACCGGAGCUACUGCGAUGGAUCCGAGGUAGAGCAUGUAUGUUGGGACCCGAAAGAUGGUGAACUAUGCCUGAGUAGGGUGAAGCCAGAGGAAACUCUGGUGGAGGCUCGUAGCGAUUCUGACGUGCAAAUCGAUCGUCGAACUUGGGUAUAGGGGCGAAAGACUAAUCGAACCAUCUAGUAGCUGGUUCCUGCCGAAGUUUCCCUCAGGAUAGCAGAGACUCGCAUCAGAUUUAUGUGGUAAAGCGAAUGAUUAGGGGCCUUGGGGUUGAAACAACCUUAACCCAUUCUCAAACUUUAAAUAUGUAAGAGCGACGCGUCACUUGAUUGGACCCGUCGGCGAUUGAGAGUCUCUAGUGGGCCAUUUUUGGUAAGCAGAACUGGCGAUGCGGGAUGAACCGAUCGUGAGGUUAAGGUGCCGGAAUGCACGCUCAUCAGACACCACAAAAUGUGUGAGUUCAUCUAGACAGCAGGACGGUGGCCAUGGAAGUCGGAAUCCGCUAAGGAGUGUGUAACAACUCACCUGCCGAAUGAACUUGCCAUGAAAAUGGAUGGCGCUCAAGCGUGUUACCCAUACCUCACCGUCAGCGUUCGAGUGAUGCGCUGACGAGUAGGCAGGCGUGGAGGUCCGUGAAGCAGCCUAGGCAGUGAUGCUGGGUGAAACGGCCUCUAGUGCAGAUCUG
rnacentral:rRNA from 1 species